AAUCCUCUUUUCUUAGGGGAUAAAGAAGGAUUAAUCUGUAUUUAAUAAAUUAAGAAAAGAGGCCCCAAAUAUGGGAGAGUGAGUGGAUUCUUCAGUAUUAUCCAGAAAUGCUACAUUACGAGGGCCUUAGAAGCAACUGAGCCUCACCCACCCAAGCAAGAAUCCCUCUUCGACUCCCCCACCUUCAGGAUCUCUCUUUGUUUUAUGACUGCACUGUGAUCAAAUUCAAAAUUCUGGCCAAGAGCUUUAGACUGUAUUAGUGGGUUAAUGAAGAAGCAGGAUUUCCCUGAAUGUCUAUAUUAGUAGCACAAAGGGGUGUUCAGAUUGCCAGCUUAUCUUAUGUUUCCAUACAGCCUGGUUCCUAAUCUACAGAGAGGAAGCUCACCAGAAUUCCAGCCAAGGAGACGGCUGUCCUCACUGGGGAUUUGAUCAAGAUAAAAACAUGGCCCAGCCAAGACGGAAGAAAUCCAUAUGGAGUCAGUUAAUGCAUUGCUGUCUGGGUAACACAGCUGUCCGUGCCAGGCGAGAUGCAGUUUGGAUGAGCACAGUUAUGUUCCUAUGUCUGGGUCUGGCUCUGCCGUUCCCCCACCCCGCUCCAAACAGGUAGUCAUCUGGCUUUGCAUGGAAAGGAGCUCACACCUUGGAUAUCUUAAAGGUUUGACUGGAAUAAUAAAUGAUGUUUCCUUAUUAUUAUCACCGUUGAUGGUGACAAUGAUGAAUGUGACAGCUAGAGUGCCUUAGGAGUUGAAGAAGCCGCUUCCUCACAAUAAUCUUUGGUGUUAUGGAUGUUUAUUGUUGUAUGUUGAAAUCAUGCAUGUUUUAUUAUCUUGAAAGAUAAGGAGAAAGCGCAGAGAGUGGAGUUGAAUUGGUAAAUAUCACAAGGCUGGUAGGUAUCAGAAUCAGGACUCCAUCAUAGGUCUUCUGACUUGAAAUCCAAUAAUGGUUGCUUAAUGAAUGCUGGUUGCAUGGGGAGAUGUGUGAACAAAUGAAUGAGUGAAUGAAUUUUAUGUGGUGAGGUUUCUUAAAUCCACAUAGUUCAUAUUAACUUCAAAGUUUUCUAAAAUCCUCAUUAAUUUCAGAAAUCUCAGAACUAAUUUAAAAAUACCACAGCCUUUGUAAAUAGAUAAAAUCCUAAUAAAAUCAGGAGCAAGAAAAAAGAUCUAUUAAUAUUGAUAAUGAAUAUAGCUUAAGGUUGCAUCUACUCAGAAUAUACAAAGAAAAUGAUUUUUAAA